UAAGGAAUCUUCGGCAAUGGGGGCAACCCUGACCGAGCAACGCCGCGUGAGUGAAGAAGGUUUUCGGAUCGUAAAGCUCUGUUGUAAGAGAAGAACGUGUGUGAGAGUGGAAAGUUCACACAGUGACGGUAACUUACCAGAAAGGGACGGCUAACUACGUGCCAGCAGCCGCGGUAAUACGUAGGUCCCGAGCGUUGUCCGGAUUUAUUGGGCGUAAAGCGAGCGCAGGCGGUUUAAUAAGUCUGAAGUUAAAGGCAGUGGCUUAACCAUUGUUCGCUUUGGAAACUGUUAAACUUGAGUGCAGAAGGGGAGAGUGGAAUUCCAUGUGUAGCGGUGAAAUGCGUAGAUAUAUGGAGGAACACCGGUGGCGAAAGCGGCUCUCUGGUCUGUAACUGACGCUGAGGCUCGAAAGCGUGGGGAGCAAACAGG
rnacentral:rRNA from 1 species